rnacentral:rRNA from 1 species
UACGAAGGGGGCUAGCGUUGCUCGGAAUCACUGGGCGUAAAGCGCACGUAGACGGCUUGUUAAGUCAGGGGUGAAAUCCUGGAGCUCAACUCCAGAACUGCCUUUGAUACUGAAGAUCUUGAGUCCGGGAGAGGUGAGUGGAACUGCGAGUGUAGAGGUGAAAUUCGUAGAUAUUCGCAAGAACACCAGUGGCGAAGGCGGCUCACUGGCCCGAUACUGACGCUGAUGCACGAAAGCGUGGGGAGCAAACAGG